GGCAGAAUAGCUCAGUUGGUUAAAGAGCAUCUCAGGCUACAAAAAUUAGAAGGUCAUGGGUUCGAAUCCUGGUUCAGCCA